UCCUGGAACUUGGCCCCCUCAUCCUUUGGGAACAAAAUAUGCAAAUCAUUGAUCCAGUGAUUGAGAAAACAGAUUCAAGAAUCAAACAGUUGAGUUCAAACCCUAGUUCUGGGUGACCCCUGGGAAAUGCCUUCCUCUCCCUGAACUUCAGUUUUUUCAUUUCAAAAAUGCAGCCAAUAAUCCCACAUUGCAGGUGGUUCUGAGGAUGAAAUGAGAUCAUGCAAAACAGCGUUGAGCACAGUGCCUGGUGCACAAGAAUAGCUAGUGUUAAAUAGUUAGUGUUAAAAUGCCGCUUCCAUCUUUGCCAAAACGGUCACAGAAGAAGGAUGGGGACUGUGUGAUGCAGGAGGCAACAAAAAGCUGGUUGCUGGUGACUAACUAAACACUCCCCUGAGGUUCGUGGAACAAUCCUGUAAACUGAGUUGCACACUCCCUGAUGUGGCCAACGAUGACUAAUACCGCAGAAGGGAGUUGGCCAUCCUUGUGCAAAGCCCUGUUGUGAAGCUGAGCCGACUCUGCAUAUAGAAAUCCAGGUCACCAAAGAGCUAUAAUCCCACAGCUCCUGCCAUUGUCCUUAUCUUAGAAGAAAUUUACUCAUUUGUAGAAGAAAUUUCAACCCUAAACAUACACUAAAUAGAAUUUUCUGGGCACUCCAUUUAAAAAAAUCUCAUUAAUUCUGGGGGGAGGGUAUAGCUCAGUGGUAGAGCACAUGCUUAGCGUGCACAAGGUCCUCGGUUCAACCUCCAGUACCUCCAUUAAAAAAGAACUCAUUGAUUUUCUGGAUGUUCCUAACAGACUCCUCCACUGAUAGUGUACUGAUAGCUUUUUGAUGAGGCAGGUUGUGUGGGUAUAUAAAAUAUUAGCGUGGAGAGAGACAGAGGACGUGAUAGAUGAGAAGCAAUGUGAAUAUGAACUGGAAAACUCAUGCUGAAAACAGAAAAAUGGUCCCCUUGCACCGCAACAUUUGAAUUCUUUCAUUUUUGUUCUGCUCACAGCACAGAGAGGCACAAUAUUUCAACUAAGUGUGUUAGAAAGGUAUCAGCAUUAAACAAAUAUAUAGAAAUUUGAAUGGUUUCUUAGAAGUGACUGAACUAUGUUUCCUCAUUUUUUUUUCAAUUUUACAAAUUACUCCAGAUAGGAUUGCAAAAGCAAUGAUCUUGCAAGAAAUAAGACCUCCACUGCAAAUGGUAUGCACCACUAAAAUACAAAAGAAAAUGCACAAGCCAACAAAGAUGAGAAAGCUAAUAUUUUCCUUCCUUUACAUUUAAUCUGACUCAUUUCAAUUUGGUCUGAUUUGCUGAUCUCAAACCUGGAUAUAUCACCAAGACCUUGCCAGGAGCCUGAGUAAAGACAAGAGCCCCCAGCUCAGGUUUUACCUAUUUCAGAGCUGCUUCAGCUUCCCCUAAACUUACCCUCUGUGACCACUGAGGCCUCUUAAAGGAUACUGCUGAGAGUGUUGCAAUGAGGUUAUGUGAUCUUUGGCACUAAGUAUCGGAUUCUUGUUGCAGAGUCCCUGAUACCCCAUUUCUCAGAGUCAUGGCUCUUGAGCGGUAGCUUCUGUGUCUGUCUGUCUGUUGUGGGCAUUGUCGUCCUCCCACUUAGAAGAAAGGAAGAGACCCCCUAGAAACAUGUCACGCCCACUCUGCACAUCUUGCAUCAUGGGUCACUCAGGCAUGCUCCCUGAGACAGGUCCCAGGAACAGAGACAGCAUCAUUAUUCCCUCCUUCCUUUGCUUAAACAUGAAAGAGACAGAGGAGAGCCAGUACCUUUCAGGAUCCCCACUGCCUGCCUGUCUAAGUGUGUCUCUGCUUGGGAAGAGUGUCAGCUAGCUCAACAGAACUCAUCCUCUCCCUUCUUGCUUUAGCCACAUCUUGUUCCUACUUGGAUGUUUUCCAAAUUGGUGAAAGGCACCAACUUUAUCACAAUUAUUGUUGACUCUUCUGUCUCCCUGACCAGAUGUUGUUCCCCGUCCUAGCUCCCAACCAAUCACCAAAUUAUACUGUUCCUUCCUGUGUAAUGACCAGUUCUUUCUAUCUCCACCGACACUACCACCAUCUGUUGCCUGGGUCAGUCCACAGAUCCCUAAGAAGUCUUCCUUCCUCUAACCUUGCCCUAGUUCAGUCCUUUCUUCCACUUAAUCAUUUUCCAGCUCCACAUUCUUCAAUGGCUCCCCACUGCCUAAAAGAGUCCAGUCUUCUUAGAUUGUGUUACAGGGCCUGUCAUAUGAUUCCUCCUCCCUCCAGUGACAUUGUUAUCAUUUUCUCCUUUGUUAUCCUUUCCCCCGAGACACCCUAUGUUUCACUGGCACUGAAUUAAUCCACCUCUCCGUGUUCUCUCUUCACUUCCAAGCCCCUGCAUCUGCUCUUCCCUUUGUCUUGGGUCCCCUUUCUCACUACAUUCCCUCCAUUCUCUUCCCCUCCUAUUCAUCUUUCAAGUCUUGAGUUAGAUUCACCUCCUCCGGAAAGUUUCCCUGCCCUGCUACAUCCUGAUAGGCAUUCCUCAGAAGUCCUUUCUUUACGUCGAGUUUUCCCCACCGUAAUAUUUAGCACACUCUGUUGUAACUGCGUGUUUGCCUCUCUGUUCCUCUCACACUGUCAUUCAUAAAGACAAGAACUCAGUCUUUCUAUUUCACUGUUCUAGUCUUUGUACUUGGAACAAGUCUUCCUGAAUGAAUAAAUAAACCCAUACAAUGGAAACAGACUUAAGAAAGUGUUCAAAGGAGGAGUGUCAACAUGUCAGAUGCAUCUGAGAGAGCCAAGUGAGCUGAGAACCAAAAAGUGACCUUUGGGCUCAUAUGGAAGUGGCAUGUGGCCACGACAUGAGCACUUUCAAUGGGGUAACCAGGGCAGAAGCCAGGGUACAGUGGGGUUGAAACUGGCUAGGCUCUGAGUCCAUGUAGACAAGUCUAGACUCAUUUAUUGGAAAGUUGUGCCCUGAUAAGAGGAGGGCGCUGCUGAUGGGGGGGACGGGGGGCAUGCCUGCAGGAACAGACACAGGAGAGGCUGGAGAACACUUGUGAAUAGGUCAGAACCAUCCUUUGGGUCACACAUGAGGCAGACCCAAGAGAAGGGAAGUGCCAUGGGGCUGAAGUCCACAAGCAUGUUUUGAAUCACAAGUUCUGACAACAUUUGCUAGGACAAAUGAGUUGAAAUUCCAGGAGGCACUCAGAAAGAAGUGUACAGUGUUGCUUUGCUCUGCUUUGUGCAACAAACAAUAACUUUAUUGGUAGAUUUUGUUGGCCUGUUGUGAGAACAAUGUCAAGGGAAACCGCUGUAACUUGAGCUGCAGGAAAUCCUUGUGCUUUCAUUUAUUAUUAAAUAUGUAGGUCACCAAGGUAUGGAGAGCCAUGCAGCCAACAACCACGUAUCGCCACCUGGCUUAAAGAAGAACGUAGCAUUAAAUGCAGUAGUAGCCCUGGUGCAUCUUGAAUUUAAAACAACUUUUCUCCCAGUUGUUCAAGUCUCUAUUCAAAACAGAAUUCAUUUUUUAGCAUGGAAAAAAAUCUUUCCACUGUGGAAAGUCAUAACCAACUUGUUGAAGUUUAUACAGAAAAUAUUUUCAGUAAACAAAUCAGAGUGCGGAGUGUCAGAAAGAAAGUCUGAGGGUCAUGAUGACAAAAGCAAUGGAAGACCAGCAGAUGUGCCCCAGGCCCUCCUUGUUGUCAUCAAUCAUAAGCCUGUCCUACCCUGUGGUUCCCAACCAGUAGGUCUUAGGCCCCUGGGGGUAGCAGUAUUUAUUGUAAGGAGCCUGUAAAUCCACAUGCACAUUUAGUAUGGUAGACUAAAUAAAUAAUGUGUCAUAUACACACACACUACUAUUUUUUAAAUGUCUAUGGAUGAAGUGAUGAAUAAAAUCCAAAUUGGCUUACUUGCUGUGCUGUAUCAAUAGCAACCUUUGAUCAUUGUGUGUUUUCUCAAACUAGAGACAUUGAAAGUAGAAUGUAUAGCAUGAUACAAUCCUCAUACUCCAAAAGAUUGGGUGGUUGCUAUUCUGAUUUGCUAGAAAACAUGUAUAAAGCCAGUGGAUGAUGAUUUAAACAAGAAGCUAAACAUUUUCUUUCAUAUGUUAAUAAUUAUUUGCAUUAUAAAAAUCUGUUCUUUAGAACACUUGCAAUAUAUUUCAACACAUAAAUGGGUUUUCUUCACUCUUUGUUACAGCAGGAUGCUUUUGUGCUAAUGCCCUCCUUAGUCCCUACUCAACACAACAAACACCAUCAGAUCUUGGAAAAUAGAGCAUCAAGGGCCAAUACUUUGCGAGUCUGAGUGGGGUUUCCCUCCCUCCUUUGAUCACGGAUAGUGCUUCCGCAGGGCGGAGAAAGAGUUGCAGAAAUCCCGCUUCCCUUCUACUUGCCUUCUGCUUGCCAUGCCCUGGGCCCUGUGGGGCUGCUUCCAUCAGACGUGGCUCGUUUCUAAUUUGCCUAGAAGGAGCAUCGUUGUGUGUGUUAUUCAUGCAGAGGAGCCCAGAAGCUCCUUGUGUGCCCAGGGACUCAGAUAUCCCACACCCUUAACUGAGCAUUGGUUUGUUUAGUAGUUAUUUGUUUCAAAUUAUUCAUCCCUCCUCACCAGUAAGGCCAAGCCACUCGAGAUACCUGAGCGCAAAAUUCAUACUGUGUUCAGUGGGAUUGACUGUGGAGGAAAGGCGACACCCACCCCUGUCUCAAGUUGUCUUUCUCACUAGCAUCUCACCAAGAAAUGCUCUUUCAAAUUGAGGCCUGGUUUACAAAAACUCUUCACUGCAGUAUUUCCCAAGGUGAGACAGCACACGAGAUGGCAGUGACCUGCUUUGAAUCCCACAAUGAAAAAUUGAUUUUUUAAAAUCAAUUUUCUUUCAAUCCUCUGAUCACACAAAAGAGAAGACCUUAAGUUAGUGUUGGCAUGUAUUUGACCCUUCUUACAGUGUCUCCUGCCCUCUCUCCAUUUUUCUUUUUUCUUUUUCCACAGAGAGAGUAUCUACACUACACAUUCAGUGUUGUUAGUACAAGGAAACAAUAUUUACCUAAACUUUAAAGCAUUAUUUUAUAUUCAUUGUAUAUAUAUUUUUUAUACCUACCUCCUUUAUUUAAGGCAAAUAAUAUAGUCUAUCCCGUUACAAUAGUGAUAUAAUCUUUUAAAACAAUAGAAAAAGUGAGUCAAUUUAAAGAAAACUAUUAUAUCGUUAUUGGAGGUUUCACAGCACAGUAAAAAGCCUUGUUAUUUAUUCAAGAACACAGUGAGGUCCUGCCCUACCACAAAGCAAAUAGAUUACUGGGAGACACAGAAUAUUAACCAGUGAGCACGACGUAGUUUACCAAGGUGAAAAGCCAUUCAUCACCUAGCAUCCUUAAUAAGAGGACGCGGGACAGGUGAAUGUUAUGGCCACAGGGAGGUGAGCUCUGACUUGACCUCCUUCUGCCGCACUAGCAGAUGGAGUUACCACUCGCUUUGGCCCCAGCCUUUUUUAAAGUGAAGAAGAAUAAAAGCAGUUUAAAUUUCGUUAGGUUUUUAACCUGGCAGUGUAUCAUUUUUCCCAUGCCACAAUGCCACAGGCUCCAUUAAUAUAAGGAGUUAAAUAUUACAUUCUGAGAGGCUGGCAAAAUACUUCUCCAGUGCAUUACUCAGCUCAAGUUAGACGUCACAAAGGAAACUGGCUAUCGUUUUAAAUCCAGUGGGUGUACAACUUGCUUUCCUUUCUGUUUGUCUGUGAGAUAAUUCUGGCUCUCCCUUCCCCUCCAGGAUAUGGCUGCCAAAGAGAAUUAAUCCCAUACCCACCCCAUUCAUUAUGUCCUCCGCAACAGGAGAAGUAACUCUUUCUUACUGCUAACUGGGCACAGUUCCCCCUAGUGAUUGCAGAUAGCACGAGUGCCUGCUCUGUUGGCAGAUAAUUUCAGCAGCACUUUCUUUUGGCAGAGAGGAGAUCACGUCACAGUGGGAUGAAACAGGCUGAAGUCACUAACUCUGACGUUCAGAUCCUGGAUCUCCUGCUGCUGAGCAUUCUUCUCUCAAGCCAGCCACUUAACCUCUUUUUGGAAGUCAGCUUCCUCCAGAAUGAGCCCUGCUCCCAUGUACUUCUUGUCUGAGCACCAGAUAAGGCAGAUGCUGUACAGAAGGUGGUAGCCACAGCCUAACCCACAGUGCAGAAGUGCUUUCCAGAAGUUCUUAUUUUUCCCCCACAGGAUUUUGUAGGUCACUUAACUUCAUUUACUCUCCACCAAUAUCAGAGACUCCAGCCAGACCAAAAGCCCCUUGCCUGGUUGUGGGCUCAUUAUCCAUGUAGUGCGAUAUACUUGCUUUUCUUGAUAUUUCUAUGUUUGUGGAUAUCAUCUUAAUGGAAAAUUUUGGGGGUUUUUGUAUUUGCUUUUGUUUGUUGCAUUGUUUGUCUUGGUUUUUAUUUUUGCUUUGAGACUGAAUUUCUAGAUAUCUGCAGAAACCUUGAAAAAUCUGCCUUACUUCUCAGAGAAGUUGUUUUUAUAAAACAGAGAUGUCAUUUGUUACCCACAAAACAUGCUUUGCCUUUUGGCAUCACCUGCAAUGUUGAGAAAAUGUACUCAUGCAUCUACGUGGGCUGAAAUACCAGAGCCAAACUUGAUCUUGGAAAUACAUAAAGGUGACACUGCUAUCUUUUGCUUCAGCCUUUACCAAAGAAUUGGAUUGGGUUGGAAUAGGUAAUUGCUGAGCAGGAAGGAACACUGAGAGAACAGACUUCAUUUACUAGUGGCAAACUCAAAGUGGUGUCUUGUGUGGACAAAUUAGUUUGUGUGCUUGAGCCAAAAAGUUAGCAGAGAGCGAGAGGCACCCAGUUUUCCAGAACCCUGCCCCAUACCUCGUUGACUUCUGCUUGUUACUUGCUACAUGAUGCUCUAGUGGCCUGAAAAAGUAAAUUGACUUCCAAAACUUAACCUAGGUUUAAAUAAAAGCACAACAUACAUGGAAUGUUCUAGUCACACUAAAUGUUUUUGUGUCUAAUCUUUAAUAAGGACCUAACUGGAUGAAAUUUAAAUCUCUGAGGUAUAAAAUGAAGCAUCUAUGUAGUAUAUUUUUACAACUUUUGUGACUAUAGAAAGUGAUAAAUGGUUAUUUUGUACAAUAAUUUGUGAACCUUACCUUGAUGCCAAGGGUUCACAGGAACAGCUUAUGAUGGACAAGACUGAUGAGAAACCAAGUGUGUGGAAGAUGGUGGUGAAAUGACAUACAAGAAGCCUCAGAGACAAUCUUUGUGCCUAGUUUGGCCCAAUCUAUGGGCCACUUUUCAUGUGUCUCAUUAGGAAUAGUUUUCAACAAAGAUGUCCAUUAGGCCAGUUACAAAUGGUGUGUUAAUGUGUUUGAUGAGAUUUUUCAUUUCUCUUUCUUUGAAACCUUGAAAACAAUUUGUGGUGAUUAUAAUAAUUGAAGUCCACUUGUACACUGGAUUCCCUGUAUUUCUCCUUAACCGUGAUUUUGGGCUGAAUCUCCACCAAAGGAAGCAGCACUGGUGCUAAUCCCAACUUGGCAGAAUUAUGGGGUUCCACCCCAGCAGUCACCAAAACAUUUGGGUUUAGUCGGAACACCAAUUCGUCACUUCCUAAAUCCAGAUCUCUUCUCCAUCCUUCAAUAACCCGUUCAUAGACCAUAGGAAGAAUGAGAGAUGUGAAUAGACUCAUUGAAUAAUAGAGCCCCGCCCUCUGAGACAUCAAGAGAGAUCUGAGACACUUUUUUUGAGUUUGCAUUUUUUUUCUCCUAGAACAUUUUUUUUUAAAAAGGAGAAAUGCCAGAACAGGAUAGUAGAAAUUGUAUCACAUUUUAAGCACUUAAAAUCGUGCUUUAAACAAAAAAUAAAAUAGCCUUUAUGGAAUGCAGAUCAAAUGGCCAAAUUUGAGGCCCUGAACAUAUAUAAAGCCCUGUCCAAACUGCUGUCCUGAAGACCCCUGUUUCCCAGCCAUCAUGGCUUCUGCUCAAAUCUGGAUGGAAGUUCCAUGAUCAUUUCGCCUCACUUAAUAGAUAAGAAAACUAAGGCCAAAGAGUGUAACACAGCCAGUUAGUUGAUGAAAAAGCAUAUUUCAGUGUGCUUUGUGUGCAGGUCGAAGCACAUGGAAGACACAGAGAGGGUCUGGGGUGAGUGGAAUGACUACUAGCAAUUGAUGGGAAAAUAAAUAUCGGGCAAAGGCACCAUAAAAUGGACUGAGUCAUGGCCAGAUGUGGCUAAUCAAGACUCCAGAUUGAAAUUUCCAUUUGAUGCUGGUAAAUGCUGCAGUUAUGCAGGACUUCAUAAGGUGAACUCGGAAGUUCCAUAUUUCUCAUCCUCUUCUUCUGUUUUUAGACCUCUGGUUGGGAUCUGUGUGAGAUCCCCAUGGACAGAGGUGGCAACUUUUUCCGAUCAAUGUCUAAGCUAGGAUGCAGGGACAUUAGGACUUGACUUUGACUCAGUCUUUUGUGAGACACUCUCUUCUCUGAGUCAUGCAUUAAUAAUUUGGAUCUCAGCAACGAUCUUAUUUAUCUUGGGGACUUUUAUUUUUCUGGAGAGCCAGAAUAAUUCCUCUCUUUUAGAUAUCAGAAGCAGACACUGGAAAAGCUGCUUUCUGUGUCUUUCUCAUGCUGCUGGGAUUCUGGGCUCCUUGCUACCUUGGCCGGCCAUCUUGAAUCAGAUGUUAGGCAAGUACUGUUGGCUCUGUCUCCUCAGAGACCGUUUCCAGCUGUUAGCACAACACAAACAUGAGGCCUUCUGAACCGGGAAAACCUGACAAUUUCUUUGGGUCCCCCUGCAGAGAUCAGAUGCAGUGAUUAAAAAGCAGUGUCAGUCCCCUGCAUUUUGAGGGUGACAGGAUACAGGUACCAUAACACUGUUGGUUGAAAUGUAACUUGAUACAAACACUUUAGUAGGCAAAUUAGCAGUAUGUCUCCAAAACCUCAAAAUGCAUGUAUUUUCUAAUUCAAGAUGGCAGAUUGAACACAAUACACUGGCCUUCCAUUUCUUCAAAGACCUCAUUGAAUUAAAAGUUGGAAAUGUGGAAUAGAAUAUCCUCUUGGUAUCUGUAUCUCUCAGAGUUCAGUCAGGAAAAUUGAGCCAAAUAGUUCAAUAAAGAGAACUCAACCUUGGGUACUAUUUAUGAAGGUGUAGGAACACCAAAAAAAAAAAAAAAAAAAAACAAAAAAAAAAAACCAGGUGCUCCUAUGACCACUGGAACUAGACGGACCUUGGGAAAAGGCAUUACUGCCGGAGCCCAGGAGCCAGGACUAUGUGCCAGGAGCUGGAACCAUGGAAAAGGGGUCAGGAGAUGUUAGUCAAGUUGGAAGAAAUGCAGCCACUUCUACAGAUGCUGCCCAAGGGAGAAAGAGCAGAGAGAAAAAUCCUGCCAUCUCCUUUCUUCCUUCCCUUCAAAAUCCCACCCAUGUUUCCCACUGGCCGAACCUAGAUGGAAGCCAGUUGGCACAGACACAUCAUUUGCUUCCCUGCGAUGGAGAGCAGAGCAAAGGAAUGGUGAGUAAUGGCUAAAAGCAAAGUAAAAAAGGCAGCAGCCUGGCACAACAGACAGGAGAGAAUGUGGCGGGGGAGUGGGUGGUGUGUGACUAAAGGGUGAGAUGUUUAUUAAUUUCUGGACUUCAAAAAGCAGACAGGAGCCAUUGGAAGAAAGGGCAGAGAAAUCGUCAGCCUGGAAUAGCUCUGUAGGGGAAGAAAGCUAAUCUGCCCUGUGAAACCCCAGAGAUGGCUUGGGUGCAGAGGCAGCAGACAUAAUGGAGCAGGGAGUGAAAGAUGGAGCUAAAAAGAGAGAUUAUUUAAAGGUCUGAAUAUGUUCUAAAUUCUUCCAGUCAGCAUCCCAUCGCCAGCAUGUACGCAGUGAGCAGGCAGCCGGUAUUUUAACCCCAGGCAAAGCAUGAUAACUCCUUUCUAAAGCAAUUGAACAAACUGGGAAAAGACGGCAUUUUUAAACUUGUUGGUGCCUCGGAGGGAAGCCAUUAUCGUAGGGACAUUUUGCAGGCACUCAGCCUGACGGGCAGCUCCCCCUUCAUUGAUCCUUAGUCAGAGUUCACCAGUCAGCACUGCCUGACCCACCCUGGGAAGAAAUUCUAGAAGAAGGGAAGAGGCCUACUAGGAAAACAGACUUAUUCACACAAAAGCAGAAACACCUACACCGUCUACCCAGGCCCCCUGUUUUAAUAACAGAGAAAUCACCAGAAUGUGAGUAGAGCUAGCAAUAUGAAAAGAGAAAUACCAAAUUCUGAAGCAAACAGAAAAGCAUCCUUAGAGUAAACUGAAAUGAUUUAGGGAACAAAAAGGAACUUUGAAAACUAUCCUUCUGUUCUCAAAAAUAUUCAUGGAAAUAUUAUGUCUACAAAACAAUAAAUAGAACAAUGAGAUAAUGAGAAGAGAUAUUAGAGAUUUAAAAUAUAAUUGCCAAAAUUAAAAAUUUAGUAGAGAUACUAGAAAAAUAAAAAUCAAAGAAAUUUUCCAAAAUUUUAAACAACAAGCAGAAGAGGGAAAAUGUGAGGAACAAAUUGAGAGGACUUACAUUCAACUAAUAAAAGCCUGAGAAAGAGAGAGGCAAAGAAGUGCUGAAAUUAUUCGAGCAAAUAAUAGAAAGAUAUGUGCUGGAGCCAAAGAGGGACAAGAAUCUUUGGUUUGAAAUGGCCCACUGAAUGUUUAACCCAACGAAUGAAAAAAGACCCCUGCCUAGCCACAUUGUGGUGAAAUUUCAGAAUAAAAUAAUUCUUAGGAAGAAACUAAAAGCUCCCUGGAAGAAAAAAGUCACAAAUCACCAAAAAAGAGAGACUAGGAUAACUUCAGAGUUCUGAAGUAAAAUGAUUUUCUACCUAGAAUUUUCUAUAACUGUAAUUUCAAAGACACCAACACUUUGUACAUCUAUACCUAUUUGUCAUCUCUACGAAGCUACUUGAGUGCUUGGACAAAACAGAUCAGUAACCUAGGCAGGGGAGACCAGUAGAUCCAACCUAGGAAAGGAGUAAAGAGAUGUCCCAGGUCAUGCAGGCCUCUGGGAGUGAGACCACAAGCCCCAGGGAUAGGCCUCUGGGACAAUCUGUGGCUUGUGGAAUAGCGUACAUGGCUUAGAUUGUAGAAAAACUAAAGGACAAAUAACAAAAGGGGUGCAGGUGGGAAGGAAUAGAAAUACCAGAGGAAAAGUUGUCCUAGAAAAUCUUGAUCAAAAUAGGAAGCAAACUAAAUGCUGUGAGUUUAAGGAAUUCAUGGACCCUCAUGCUAGGAACACUAGUCUUUGGGUGGCCCGGAUUCCUAUACAAGGGCCCACGGAGAAGGCACUGGGAGCCUGGUGCCUCCCUUGUCAUGGCAUAGAUCUGUUUCUGCACUAAAGCAUAACCCUGGGAAACCAGUUUGUGGGCUUUCUACCUUAAGAGACAACCCCAGGACAUAACAUGGCAGAUUUAUCAGUGGUUGCAGGAGAGAAGAGUAACUACCUGGAUUAUCUACUUGUCAAAGCAAAGCUCACAAAAGAUGGAACAAAAUUUUCUGAGAGGAAAGAUGGAAUUAAAAAUGAGAUACUAAUUAUCUCAUCUUUUUGGGGGGUUAAGUAUCAAGAAAUAGUGUCAAAAUAGAAAGAAACUGGAAUUUUGUUGUAUUAUCUAAAAUUACAAAAGUAACCAGUUGUAAAACUGAAAGUAGUGAUAUAACAAACACUGAAAGAAAGAGGAGAGAGGAGGUAAGGAAAGUAAGCAAAUCCCUGUUUUUAUCUCAGGGAGUCACUGCCUAUUUUCUAAAGUAGUUACAUAGAAGAAUACCUGUGUUAUCUAGCUCCUUGAUACACCGAAGUGUACACACCAAAGUACUGACAUCACCUGUUAGAAAGGCCGAAUCUCGGCACCCCCCCACCCCCCAGAACUACUGAAAAGGAAUCUGCAUUUUAACAAGAUCCAUCAAUGUUUCAUAUGCACAUUAGAGUUUGAAUAGCACUCUUCUAAAACUGAUUCUCAGGUUUGGCUACGCGUUAUUAGAAUCACCUGGGGAGAUUGAAAAAAUAUUGUUUAAAAAGGGGCAGACCCCACCUUAGGCGAUUACGCUUUAAAUGGUCUGGGAUGGAGUUCAGAAAUCCACAUCUUUUUUAACAGCUUCUGAGGUGGUUGUAAUGUGUAGUCAUGGUUGAGAACCAGUAAUCUGGAAUUGCCGUGGUAAGUGAUCAAGAGAAUGAAACAAAAAACAACUUCAAAAUUUGCUUCUGGAUUUAUCUAGUCAGUCAUUGAGCUGAGGAAGAGGAAGCAUGGAAAAGAUGAUUAUUUUGAUCAUAAGGAAUUUUAUAAUGUUUGGUCUGUAUCCUGUGAAUGUAUAACUCUGAAAUAUAGGUUAAUCUUUCAUGCAUAUAGCCUUUGACUCAGCAAUUCUACUUCUAGGAAUUUUCUUAAUGAUACAAAUAUUUAUGUUCAUAGAAGUUCAUUAUAAUGUUCAUAAUUUUUAAAAAUAUAAAGAAUAUGAAUACUGCAUACCCAUGUUAAUAGCAGCACUAUUCUUGAUAGCUGGGAAGCAGAAGCAACCCAAAUGUCUAUUGAUGGAUGAAUGGAUAAACUUGAUGUGGUGUAUGCAUACAAUGGGAGUAUAAUUCAGCCUUAUAAAGGGAGGAAAUCCCUUCACAGGCUGUAACAUGGAUGAAACUUGAAGACAUUCACAAAAAGACGAAGACUGUAUGAUUCCAUUUAUAUGAGGCAAGAAUUUCCUGAAGAUUUUGAAGCUUCAGUUCGUGUUUAUUAUGACUACCUCGGGGACUGAUAGGAGUCUGAGAACAUGGGUUACAGUUGUUCCAAAAUAAUUAUUUCAAGAUGGCUAAUGACACUGGCCCGUGCCGGCCACCAGCAGCCACGUGAACCCAGCACCACCCGGGACUUUCACCUCAGGUCACAAGUCCUCUCGCUUCCCUUCUUGCUCUCAGGGAGACCGGAGACCAUCUCAGCCUUGCAAACAAAAAGCUCAUUUUCCAGCAAUAUGAGAGCAUUUGAAAGCACUCCUACUAAUUAUAACUUGUGGUAUAGUAGAUAUGGUAGUAUUUUGUUUACAGUAAGGCAGCACUAGUUAGGGUAGGAAAACUUCUGAAUCAAUAAAGAAUGCUUGCUUUUAAAACCAUUUCAUCUCCAAUGGAACACACUUGCACAAGAGGAAAAAAAAUGUGACUUUUCAAGGAAGGGGAACAUUUGUGAAUUAAAGUGCAAAUUUUAGGGUCUUUUUUAGAAAAGUAUCUCUCAGGUCUGUGGAGGCAAAAUUCAAUUUUGCGAUUGCUACUAUUAGGCACGUGUGUUUUAGAGCAACUGGCAGAUAAUUGCUGGGUGUUG